rnacentral:lncRNA from 1 species
AAACAUAAGGUUCAUCAUUAGUUAUCCUAGAAAGCUCCACUGGAAGUAUGAGCAGAGAUGGUUAUCCUUCUUGACUCUUUUGAAUCUGUAAUGUUUGUGCAUAAUGAGCUCCUUUCUAAUUCUUUUCACGGAGAACACAAUCAUAUUCAUUUUCAUAUGAAUCAGCUAUGAUAUUUUUACAUGCAAUUUAAAGAGUAAGAUAGAAGUAGGAAAGUUUGAAAUGUUUAAUAAACAUUUUUUUGUCCAGUUGAUGGGAGGUUGCUAAUAUCAAAAAGAUCAUAAAAUUAUAUUGACAUAUAUUGGCAUAUGCAUAGAUAGAUAGAUAGAUAGAUAGAUAGAUAGAUAGAUAGAUAGAUAGAUAGAUUUGUCCCUAAAUGUAAAAUGUUCAGUUGUAUACUGCUGUCUUUAUACAUAUUUUCAGAGCUGCUGACCACUGGGCACUGGACAACCAAUUGGUGUAUUCUUUCCUGGAGCCCAAAACUUAGGAUACCCAAGAUAUAAG